rnacentral:rRNA from 1 species
CUGGCGGCAUGCCUUACACAUGCAAGUCGAACGGCAGCGCGGGGCAACCUGGCGGCGAGUGGCGAACGGGUGAGUAAUAUAUCGGAACGUACCCUGGAGUGGGGGAUAACGUAGCGAAAGUUACGCUAAUACCGCAUACGAUCUAAGGAUGAAAGUGGGGGAUCGCAAGACCUCAUGCUCCUGGAGCGGCCGAUAUCUGAUUAGCUAGUUGGUAGGGUAAAAGCCUACCAAGGCAUCGAUCAGUAGCUGGUCUGAGAGGACGACCAGCCACACUGGAACUGAGACACGGUCCAGACUCCUACGGGAGGCAGCAGUGGGGAAUUUUGGACAAUGGGCGAAAGCCUGAUCCAGCAAUGCCGCGUGAGUGAAGAAGGCCUUCGGGUUGUAAAGCUCUUUUGUCAGGGAAGAAACGGUGAGGGCUAAUAUCCCUUGCUAAUGACGGUACCUGAAGAAUAAGCACCGGCUAACUACGUGCCAGCAGCCGCGGUAAUACGUAGGGUGCAAGCGUUAAUCGGAAUUACUGGGCGUAAAGCGUGCGCAGGCGGUUUUGUAAGUCUGUCGUGAAAUCCCCGGGCUCAACCUGGGAAUGGCGAUGGAGACUGCAAGGCUAGAGUUUGGCAGAGGGGGGUAGAAUUCCACGUGUAGCAGUGAAAUGCGUAGAUAUGUGGAGGAACACCGAUGGCGAAGGCAGCCCCCUGGGUCAAGACUGACGCUGAGGUGCGAAAGCG